CGAAAAUAAGAAUUACAUCAUUCUUGAAUCCAACAAUAAGAAAAGAAAGAUGAGGUUCAUAAUCUUGUUCAUAAUCUUUAUCUCAGUAGGAUCUAACGAUUCCGGGCAUGAAAGUGGUGCUGGAAUUUACGGAUCCAGCUUUAAGUUCUUGUGACGUUGCAUCUGAAUGGAGCAAAACAUUUGAAGGCUGAGGUAUGCUGGAAAUCGGUAUCUACAUUCCACAUGACAAGUGUUUUUUUUGCAAGCCUUAGAAACCAAUGUUGUUGUCACUCUUAGGCAACCACAUUGGUCGUGUGUGCACCCAACCUUCUUAGGUGUGGCUGAGCCUAUAUAUAUCAGCCACACCUGCACUGUCUUCACUUUCAGGUCAAUCAGAUUCAAUUAAAAGGGUCCAAAAUGCUCCUAUUUUGGGUUCUAGAAUUUGCUUUAGCGGUUUUCGCUUGUGAGCCCAUAGGAGAUACUGAUGCAGCCUGUAGAAACGACUGUUACCGAAAAGACUGUGAUGGAACAGUGUAUGACAUCCAAGAGGCUACUUGCUGUGAAAACAAACUUCACCCAGGUGCAAGUUUGUCUUGUUGUGGAAAUGAGCCUUACAAUCCUGAAACAGCCACUUGUUGUAAACACAAUCUCACAGCCAGUGUUACUCAGGGUCUGAGUGAAAAGGUGUCCAAGUGCUGUGACCUGAAGGCCUACAACCCAGUCAAUGAAAUGUGUUGUCAAUCAACCAUCAUAUCAAAACCUGGACCAAUGGCUGAAUGCUGUGUUAAAGAUGUUUUUGAUGAGGACAAGCAGUUGUGUUGUGGUCCAGCUGAUAAUAAGACAAUUCUGGUGAGGAAUUCCCGUCACCAUGAGUGCUGUGGUCACAGCCAGUACGACACUGAGACUCAGUGCUGCUGUUCAAAUGAGGAGAAGAUGGAGAUACAAUCGAAGGAUUCAUCCUGCUGUGUCAAGAAUUUCACUCCAGGCCUUUCAAGUGGAAAUACCACCUUCAACAAACCUUCACCAAAGCAUGGAUAUUGUGGUGAAGAGAUUUACGAUAUGGAAAAUAAGUUGUGUUGUGGUCCAAAUAAUGAUAAAAAGAUCCUGACAAAGAAGUCCAGAGAUCAUGUGUGCUGUCAUCAUGGCCAGUUCAACGUCAAAACUGAGUGCUGCUGUUAUAACAAUCAUAUUGCUGAAGUACAGUUGACGAAUUCAUCUUGCUGUAUGAAACAGCAGAUAUUCAAGCUCCAACCCAAAUGCACUGAACCAAACACACAUCUCUGUGGGUCGUCGUGUUACAAUCCAAAGCAAAAUCGCUGCUGUGAGAGUAACCACGAGCCUCACUCACUUGACAACUCAGGUCAAAGGAAGGCCACAGCCACCGUGUACAACCCACAUACUCAGGUCUGCUGUGAUGGACGUGUAUCUCCGUGGAAGCCUUGGAUCGAUCAGUGCUGUGGAGAGACGCCGUAUGGCUCGGCACAACGUGGAGCUCUGUCUUGUAAUAAGACCUUGUACGAGGACAGAUAUGAUGGAGAGGAAUGUUCAGAGAUGGGUAUUCCUUACAACCCGGCUAAAGGGACCAUAUGUUGUUCUCAGUUUCAUGGCAGCCCAGGACAACACUGCUGUGGGACAGAAAUUUACCGGCCUCGUACUGAGAUCUGCUGCAAUGGACACAGACAUCUGAAAUCAGAAAACAUUCACUGCUGUGGGGUCAAAGCCUACAACAUUAAAGACCCACAGAUGAAGUGCUGUGCAGGAACACUGUACAAUCUGACAUCAUUAGACAAGCAUGGAGGGGAUGCGCAGUGCUGUGGAUCCAUUCUGCAAAAGCCACAGGACAUUUGCUGCUCAAGUGAGGACAAAGAGGUGCUCUACUCUGCCGAAAUAGGGUUCAGAUGCUGUGGUCACCUUUACUAUAACACCACCCUGUGGUCAUGCUGUGCUGGGGGGCUGAGAAGAAUCCGUGAACCAGGACAGGAUCAGAGAAAGAUGAUUAAUGGAUCCAGACUUCUAUCUGUGAAUAAUCUGAACAAAAUCGAUCUUUGCAAAGAAAUGCACAUUGGGACUGUGGAAAGUGUGUCGCUGCAGAGCAUUGUGUUCAGGAGUGUGCUGAAGGUCCAUGGGAUGGAGGCCAAAGUGAAAGCUCUGCCAUUCCCUUACAUCCUGGAAAGAGAUGAUCGCUGCAGCUCCCCUAAACUGAUUGCUGGGAAGACCUACUACUUUAACAAAGUUAAUGUUUUCAUUGAUUUCAAUCAUGACUCUGUUCUUCAGUCACUCCAUUUCAUUAUUUGCAAAUGUUCAUCUCAGGUCACCACUGGCUGAUGUAUACAUGGUCAGUGUGGAUCUGUUGCUCCCUUCUUUGAACAAGUUCUCUUUUUUCACAUAUUUACUCACAGUGUUGGCUUUGUCACACAGAAAAUUAAUUAAUUACACAUCACAUUAUACUGGUUAACAUUAUUUUACAAAGUAAUUUGUUACCAUAUUUAUUACAGAGUACUUGUUGCAUUGCAACCUAAUAUACUCACCCCAAAUUACUCUCUGAUGCACCCAUCACAGUGUGAAUGUUUGCUUGAACUUAAACACAGAAAGAAGUCGUUGUAUGAAUGUGUGAAUGAGGGACGUUGUAUCAAGCGCUUUGAGUGCUCAGGUAGGGUAGAAAAGUGUUAUAUAGAAGAACCUGUCCAUUUAUCAGUAGUAUACAAUACUUCACAUGAUAUGUUGUUUAUACAUUACUCUGCCUAUGUCCAGCCAAACCAUGUUGCUCUGUUGUUAACACAUCCCAAGAUGUCUUAUCACAGACAGAAUUUAGGUACUUUAAGUAAAGAAAACAAAAAACAAUGUAGCUUUUAACUUCAGUUUUACAGGGACUCACAUUGUAGUGAUUCACACAACUUGACAUUAAUCAAUACUGUAACACAGUAAGCUGGUGCACAAUGUUGUUUCUCAAAUCUAAAUUUGAACAAAAUCUAAAUGUAACUUUGAUUCUUGCACUGAUCUAAAAUACAAGGGACAACUGUGUGCACAUGUCCUUGAACCAUACAAUUCAAUACUUGUGGUAAAGUCCAUGAUUUACUGUGAUUGUUAAUUCUAAUGAAUGAUAAACACUUAAUGCCAAUAUCAUGAAUACAAAUAUGUUAGAAGGACCCACUAAAAAUUCCAUUAGUUUCUGUUUCUUUGAAUGUGAUUCAUGUAAAAUAGUUAAUGGUAAGGAUAGGUAUGGGAAUUUAAGAAUGGUAAGGAAUCUAGUAAGGACUUGAGGGACAUUUAAGCUAUAAGCAAACAUAAACACUGCCUGCUUGAUUUAGUGACUUUGUUGUUAAUAUAAUAUAUUGCAUAUAUAUAUUGUAAAUGUUUAAUAUUUGAAUGGACCUAUUAUCCUUUAAGGAUUCAAAUAAAUAAAUACAAACACUUAUUAAACCUGCUGUGUUUUCUCUUG
ensembl:lncRNA